AAAAUAUUUUACUUUAAUGGUCCAGUAUGGGAAAUCUUAAAAUAGUUGAACUGGAUGUGUCUUCUCUUGACUCGCGCGGCGAUAAAUGUUGCAGUUCAUUUGUAUUCAUGGAUUCGUGCCCAGCGCUACAGAGCGCUCAUAUCAAAAUUGCUUGCGGUCCCAUUCUCACCCAUUAUUCAGUAAAAAAUGAAAACUUACAAAAUUUGGUUAUACAAUUUUAUAAAAAUGCCAAAUGGAAGGAACUACCCAUGUUAAUGUCGAAGUAUCCUAAUUUAAAGCAUUUGUCAUUACGGAAUAUCUGGUUAAGAAAGCAACACAUCAAGCAAUUGAUAUUGAUUUUGCCAAAAUUAACACUACUUGAUAUUCGUAAAUCUUUUGGAGUCUCUCAAAAAGCUGCUGAUUAUGUUCAGAAUUUUUGUGAACAGCAUGGCAGAUCGGUCAAGUUUUAUUUUAAAAAAGGCGACAAGCAAAUUGAAUAUGAUUGGCCGCAGAUAUUGAAUCGACCUGAAAAAAUCUGUCGCGGAUUUGAUUUCAUGGAACACUGUUUUUUCAAAAGUUUCAAUGAUUUGCCUCAUUUUUUGGAUCCAAUAGAUGAUUAGAAAUGCAAAUGAUAACAUAAUUGUCGAUCUUUUCUAUUUAUUUUUUGUUUCAGCUGUGAGGUUCACGUUAUUUAAAGAAAUGUUGCUAUCUUCAUAAAAUUCAUCAUCUUGGCUAACCUUUCAACCCGAUAUUUCGAGCACACAAAAAAGUUCUUGAAUCUUAUUGUUAUUGCAAAAACGCACUUCAAAUCUUACAAUUCCAAUAUAAAAUUUUAUUUGAUCUUAUUUAAAA